UACAGAGGGUGCGAGCGUUAAUCGGAAUUACUGGGCGUAAAGCGUGCGCAGGCGGUUUUGUAAGUCUGUCGUGAAAUCCCCGGGCUCAACCUGGGAAUGGCGAUGGAGACUGCAAGGCUAGAAUCUGGCAGAGGGGGGUAGAAUUCCACGUGUAGCAGUGAAAUGCGUAGAGAUGUGGAGGAACACCGAUGGCGAAGGCAGCCCCCUGGGUCAAGAUUGACGCUCAUGCACGAAAGCGUGGGGAGCAAACAGG
rnacentral:rRNA from 1 species